UACCUGGUUGAUUCUGCCAGUAGUCAUAUGCUUGUCUCAAAGAUUAAGCCAUGCAUGUCUAAGUAUAAGCAAUUACAAAGCGAAACUGCGAAUGGCUCAUUAUAUAAGUUAUCGUUUAUUUGAUAGUACCUUACUACAUGGAUAACCGUGGUAAUUCUAGAGCUAAUACAUGCUGAAAAUCCCGACUUCGGAAGGGAUGUAUUUAUUAGAUACAAAACCAAUGCCUUCGGGGCUCUCUUGGUGAUUCAUGAUAACUUCUCGAAUCGCACGGCCCCGCGCCGGCGAUGGUUCAUUCAAAUUUCUUCCCUAUCAACUUUCGAUGCUACGGUAUUGUCCUAGCAUGGUUGCAACGGGUGACGGAGGGUUAGGGCUCGACCCCGGAGAAGGAGCCUGAGAAACGGCUACUACAUCCAAGGAAGGCAGCAGGCGCGCAAAUUACCCAAUCCCGACUCGGGGAGGUAGUGACGAUAAAUACCGAUACAGGGCUCUUUUGGGUCCUGUAAUUGGAAUGAGUACAAUUCAAAUCCCUUAACGAGGAACAAUUGGAGGGCAAGUCUGGUGCCAGCAGCCGCGGUAAUUCCAGCUCCAAUAGCGUAUAUUAAAGUUGUUGUGGUUAAAAAGCUCGUAGUAGAAGCUCGGCCUCCGGUCGGCCGGUCCGCCUCACCGCGUGCACUGGUUCGGCCGGGGCUUCACCUUCUGCGGAACCGCAUCUCCUUCACUGGGGGUGUCGGGGAAACAGGACGUUUACUUUGAAAAAAUUAGAGUGCUCCAGGCAGGCCUAUGCUCGAAUACAUUAGCAUGGAAUAAUGGAAUAGGACGUGUGGUCUUAUUUCGUUGGUUUCUAGGACCGCCGUAAUGAUUAAUAGGGACAGUCGGGGGCAUCAGUAUUCAAUCGUCAGAGGUGAAAUUCUUGGAUCGAUUGAAGACUAACUACUGCGAAAGCAUUUGCCAAGGAUGUUUUCAUUUAUCAGGAACGAAAGUUAGGGGAUCGAAGACGAUCAGAUACCGUCGUAGUCUUAACCAUAAACUAUGCCGACUAGGGAUCGGACGGUGUUAUUUCUUGACCCGUUCGGCACCUUACGAGAAAUCAAAGUGCUUGGGCUCCAGGGGGAGUAUGGUCGCAAGGCUGAAACUUAAAGAAAUUGACGGAAGGGCACCACCAGGGGUGGAGCCUGCGGCUUAAUUUGACUCAACACGGGGAAACUCACCAGGUCCAGACACAACGAGGAUUGACAGAUUGAGAGCUCUUUCUUGAUUUUGUGGGUGGUGGUGCAUGGCCGUUCUUAGUUGGUGGAGUGAUUUGUCUGCUUAAUUGCGAUAACGAACGAGACCUUAACCUGCUAAAUAGUCCGUAUUACCCCGGUAGUACGCCGACUUCUUAGAGGGACUAUCGGCUCAAGCCGAUGGAAGUUUGAGGCAAUAACAGGUCUGUGAUGCCCUUAGAUGUUCUGGGCCGCACGCGCGUUACACUGACGGGGCCAGCGAGUACUGCCUUGGCCGAAAGGUCCGGGUAAUCUUGUGAAACCCCGUCGUGCUGGGGAUAGAGCAUUGCAAUUAUUGCUCUUCAACGAGGAAUCCCUAGUAAGCGCAAGUCAUCAGCUUGCGUUGAUUACGUCCCUGCCCUUUGUACACAGGGUUAGGGUUAGGGUUAGGGUUAGGGUUAGGGUUAGGGUUAGGGUUAGGGUUAGGGUUAGGGUUAGGGUUAGGGUUAGGGUUAGGGUUAGGGUUAGGGUUAGGGUUAGGGUUAGGGUUAGGGUUAGGGUUAAGGUUAGGGUUGGUGAACCAGCGGAGGGAUCAUCA
rfam:Verticillium albo-atrum VaMs.102 supercont1.4 genomic scaffold, whole genome shotgun sequence.